GUGGGGAAUAUUGGACAAUGGGCGCAAGCCUGAUCCAGCAACGCCGCGUGAGGGAUGACGGCCUUCGGGUUGUAAACCUCUUUCAGCAGGGACGAAGCGAAAGUGACGGUACCUGCAGAAGAAGGACCGGCCAACUACGUGCCAGCAGCCGCGGUAAUACGUAGGGUCCGAGCGUUGUCCGGAAUUAUUGGGCGUAAAGGGCUCGUAGGCGGUCUGUCGCGUCGGGAGUGAAAACUCAGGGCUCAACCCUGAGCGUGCUUCCGAUACGGGCAGACUAGAGGUAUGCAGGGGAGAACGGAAUUCCUGGUGUAGCGGUGGAAUGCGCAGAUAUCAGGAGGAACACCGGUGGCGAAGGCGGUUCUCUGGGCAUUACCUGACGCUGAGGAGCGAAAGCAUGGGGAGCGAACAGGAUUAGAAACCCGUGUAGUCC
rnacentral:rRNA from 1 species